rnacentral:rRNA from 1 species
CCUACGGGAGGCUGCAGUAGGGAAUAUUGCUCAAUGGGGGAAACCCUGAAGCAGCAACGCCGCGUGGAGGAUGAAGGUUUUCGGAUUGUAAACCCCUUUUGUUAGAGAAGAUAAUGACGGUAUCUAACGAAUAAGCACCGGCUAACUCCGUGCCAGCAGCCGCGGUAAUACGGAGGGUGCAAGCGUUACUCGGAAUCACUGGGCGUAAGGAGCGCGUAGGCGGGAUAGCAAGUCAGAUGUGAAAUCCUAUGGCUUAACCAUAGAACUGCAUUUGAAACUGUUAUUCUAGAGUAUGGGAGAGGUAGGUGGAAUUCUUGGUGUAGGGGUGAAAUCCGUAGAGAUCAAGAGGAAUACUCAUUGCGAAGGCGACCUGCUAGAACAUAACUGACGCUGAUGCGCGAAAGCGUGGGGAGCAAACAGGAUUAGAUACCCCUGUAGUC